GAUGAAGAACGUAGCGAAAUGCGAUAAGUAAUGCGAAUUGCAGAAUCCGUGAGUCAUCGAAUCUUUGAACGCACAUUGCGCCCUCUGGUAUUCCGGAGGGCAUGCCUGUUCGAGCGUCAUUUCGACCCUCAAGCAUUGCUUGGUGUUGGGGCACCGCCUGUAAAAGGGCGGGCCCUGAAAUCUAGUGGCGAGCUCGCCAGGACCCCGAGCGUAGUAAUUAUAUUUCGUUCUGGAAGGCCCUGGCGGUGCCCUGCCGUUAAACCCCCAACUUCUGAAAAUUUGACCUCGGAUCAGGUAGGAAUACCCGCUGAACUUAAGCAUAUCAAUAAGCGGAGGA
rnacentral:misc_RNA from 1 species